rnacentral:rRNA from 1 species
UACGAAGGGGGCAAGCGUUGUUCGGAAUUACUGGGCGUAAAGGGCGCGUAGGCGGCUUACCAAGUCAGGCGUGAAAUUCCCGGGCUCAACCUGGGGGCUGCGCUUGAUACUGGUGAGCUUGAAUGCGGGAGAGGAUAGUGGAAUUCCCAGUGUAGAGGUGAAAUUCGUAGAUAUCGGGAAGAACACCCGUGGCGAAGGCGGCUCUCUGGAACGCAACUGACGCUGAGACGCGAAAGCGUGGGGAGCAAACAGG